CAGAGUUAUACAACUCCCACACCAUUUGUUAACUUACUCAGUUAUGCCUCGGCGUGAACUGCGUACGGAGGCAGGUCGGGUGUUACCCUGUAGCCUACCCUGUAGGUUACCCGGUAGCUACCCUGUAGGCUACCCUGUAGCGUACCCUGCACCACUCCCGCGCAGCCCGCCGGUGGUACACGAAACUCUUGUUUUAUUGUAUCUUCUGAGCGAAUUAUUUUAAUAAUUA
rnacentral:misc_RNA from 1 species